rnacentral:rRNA from 1 species
UGGAGGCAGCAGUGGGGAAUCUUGCGCAAUGGACGAAAGUCUGACGCAGCGACGCCGCGUGAGCGAUGAAGGCCUUCGGGUUGUAAAGCUCUGUGGGGAGAGACGAAUAAGGCAUGGCUAACAUCCAUGUCGAUGACGGUAUCUCCUUAGCAAGCACCGGCUAACUCUGUGCCAGCAGCCGCGGUAAGACAGAGGGUGCGAACGUUGUUCGGAAUUACUGGGCGUAAAGCGCAUGUAGGCGGCAGCGCAAGUCGGGCGUGAAAUCCCACGGCUCAACCGUGGAAGUGCACUCGAAACUGCGCAGCUAGAGUCCUGGAGAGGAAGGUGGAAUGCUUGGUGUAGAGGUGAAAUUCGUAGAUAUCAAGCGGAACACCGGUGGCGAAGGCGGCCUUCUGGACAGUGACUGACGCUGAGAUGCGAAAGCGUGGGGAGCAAACAGGAUUAGAUACCCCGGUAGU